AAAUAUCCAAUUAAAGCCAAAUUACAAGUUAUUUUAUUUCCAGACGGGGCUGCAGAUUGUAUGCUGCUCACCAUCCCGGGGCUUCAGGAUGCUCUGUAGCAUGGCUGAGCCACGAGACUUGUGGAGUAGAAUUAUGAAAGGAGAAUCAUUCUAGAAGGAGAAAGAAGAGAUGGAAGUCAUAUAAAGCAUGCCCAAAAGUGUUAUCCUGUAUUUAUUUGAAAGGUGUGCUGCUCUUGCUUUUUGCAAGAGGAGGGAGUUUGAGCUCUGCCCCUGGCUUUGUCAUGUUGUGUGUUCUGCUGUAUGUUUAUUCCAGUGAUCCACCCUUUGGGGCAGAUCAGUAAAUCAGUUCCUACAGCUGUACAACCCUGAGCAUUUCAUGCAUGAAAAUACAAAAAUUAUAGGUAUGGAUGUCCAGCAAUUAAAAAUAAAUUCCACUUCUUUUUCUAUCUCAUAGAAAAUCUGGGUUUACAGUAAACUACAAUACUUCGUACAAUACAGAUGCCUCCAUUCUCUGCACACCUGUAACUCUGUCUGAUCUACAAUACUGAUAAAAGUUGCAGGUUGUAGUUUCACACAAAUCCAACAUUUUUUCCUGGGUUUUCUGCUCACAAUGAAAUUAUCUUAAGGAUUCACUUUUGCUUUCUCUUUAAACUCUGGAAAGAUGUGAUUAGUUUCAUCCUGUUUUGGUAAGUAGGCCAACCUCAUCAUGCUGUUUUUCAAUUAAGUUUAUUCUGUGUAAAAUUUCUUUUGCUUUCUUCUAGUAGUCUUGCAGACAUCUUUUUCUGACUUGCACAUCCAAUUCUUCUGCCUUGUUCACAUUUAAUGAGUUAUCAUAUAAUUUCAGAGACAACUGUUCAGCUUCAUAAAAUAUAAAAAUCCACUAAAAUUUUAUCAAGUAACACUUAAAAGGUAUUUAUUAUAUUUUAGUAUGCUAAGGGCCAGCCCCAAUAAUUUAUUGCAAAAUAACAAUUUUUAUGAAACUUACACAUAAAUGUUAACACACUUGAAAUAUAAGCUGCAGUUACAAGAGGUGAACUUGCAAUCAUAGUUCCUUGUAAACUGCUUUCACAAUGCUGCUGUGAAAAAAAAAAGACUUUUGCAUUGACUUAACUCUGGGUUCUGGACCAGUAUGAAUCUCUACUUUUCUACAAAAAUCAAUUUUAAUGAACACUAUAAAAACACAGUAUUAAUGGACACUACAAAGCCCCACACCCCUGACAGAGGACACAAGACUGACACCAUUAACACCUUCAAGCAUCAGCACUUGAUUAUUCCCCAAUACAGCCUUUUAUAGCGUUUUGCAGUAUCAUAACACCCGUGUGCCCUUUUACCCCCUUGUGACUGCUCAGUGCACUUCAGCAUUUGCGCUCCUUUUCCCUUAACAAUGGUCACCUGUUUUACACAGCUGCACCUUAUCAGGGGUGAGACUGCCUGCAGCACUCUCGCUAUUCUCUUACAAUCAGGUCUCCCACACACCCCCUCAAUCUUACACAAACCUCUCAGUUGUGCUUGCAGCACAGAAAUGUAGAUACUGGUUUGUUUUUUCUAAUUGGCAAUUGCACACCCUCCAUGCUCUAGAGAUCACAGGACAAGGUCUCUCUGUUUCAUGGGAGGUAUUGUACAGAUAAUUAAUAAAAAACUGAAAUGGGGCCAAAAAAUACAUCCUACUUCAGAAAAAAAAAAUAUCAAGAUUUCUUAAUAGUGGAAAUUAAUGCAGACACAGUGAUUUCAGGCUUGAUUAUCUCCUGGUUUAUUCUCUCCCUCUAGUGCUACAUCCCCAGGAAGAGAGUAUCCACUGGGUGUUAAAUGACAAUGUUCAUAUUUUCCACACACUUUAUAGAUGGGAAAGCUUUAAGAACUGGCCCUACAUGGAGGGGUUUCACAAAUGCAUUAUAGCAACACUGCUGGAAUUCUUACUUCUCUUUUUUCUGCCUAAGUCAGUUCUUGAUGACAAAUAAGCAACUUUCUGUGCAGAAAACAAACAUCUUUAGGAGUCCACAGAAUUACAAAGCUGCCACAGUUAAAAUCACUUGGGGAAUCAGCAGGACACAGAGAUGGAAACAAUCACUGUCAUUUUUAAAGCAGUAACAGCAAGCUUACUCAUUUGUUUGCAGUUCUGCAGCACAAAAGUAGCAGCUUUGAUGAGUUCCUCGUCCUGAGAUUCUGUCAAUACCUGAAUCAUAAGUGGCAGACCAUUGUUCUGAAGCAGCUCACACUGGUUUUCUUCUAGAACAGGACAUGGCAAAGGAAAGGAUGAUUUGAUCAGAACUCAGAUUACUGCAAGAAAACUGAAGGAUGACUACUGAGACAAAUUAUAUGAUGGAGUUCCAAGCUCAUUUAAUUGUGGCCUAAAGCAUUUGAAUAAUGACUCUUGUACUUCUUCUCUUCCAUUACCUGCUCUUGGAGUAGAUAUGCGACAUUUCAGUGAGGCCUGUGAUGCAGAAGUAUCAAAAUCUCAAGGUUUAUAAUCAGCAAAAUAAAAUUAGUAGUUUAAUCCUGCUCUA